UACAGAGGGUGCGAGCGUUGUCCGGAAUCACUGGGCGUAAAGGGCGCGUAGGUGGUGGCUUAAGCGUGCGGUGAAAGCUCGGGGCUCAACCCCGAGUCGGCCGUGCGAACUGGGCUCACUGGAGCAUAGUAGAGGCAGGUGGAAUUCCGGGUGUAGCGGUGGAAUGCGUAGAGAUCCGGAAGAACACCGGUGGCGAAGGCGGCCUGCUGGGCAGUAGCUGACACUGAGGCACGAAAGCUGGGGGAGCAAACAGG
rnacentral:rRNA from 1 species